rnacentral:rRNA from 1 species
GAUGAACGCUGGCGGCGUGCCUAAUACAUGCAAGUCGAGCGAACAGACGAGGAGCUUGCUCCUCUGACGUUAGCGGCGGACGGGUGAGUAACACGUGGAUAACCUACCUAUAAGACUGGGAUAACUUCGGGAAACCGGAGCUAAUACCGGAUAAUAUAUUGAACCGCAUGGUUCAAUAGUGAAAGACGGUUUUGCUGUCACUUAUAGAUGGAUCCGCGCCGCAUUAGCUAGUUGGUAAGGUAACGGCUUAUCAAGGCAACGAUGCGUAGCCGACCUGAGAGGGUGAUCGGCCACACUGGAACUGAGACACGGUCCAGACUCCUACGGGAGGCAGCAGUAGGGAAUCCUCCGCAAUGGGCGAAAGCUUGACGGAGCAACGCCGCGUGAGUGAUGAAGGUCUUCGGAUCGUAAAACUCUGUUAUUAGGGAAGAACAAAUGUGUAAGUAACUAUGCACGUCUUGACGGUACCUAAUCAGAAAGCCACGGCUAACUACGUG